CCUACGGGUGGCAGCAGUGGGGAAUUUUGGACAAUGGGGGCAACCCUGAUCCAGCCAUGCCGCGUGUCUGAAGAAGGCCUUCGGGUUGUAAAGGACUUUUGUUAGGGAAGAAAAGGGAAGUGCUAAUACCACUUUUUGCUGACGGUACCUAAAGAAUAAGCACCGGCUAACUACGUGCCAGCAGCCGCGGUAAUACGUAGGGUGCGAGCGUUAAUCGGAAUUACUGGGCGUAAAGCGAGCGCAGACGGUUACUUAAGCAGGAUGUGAAAUCCCCGGGCUCAACCUGGGAACUGCGUUCUGAACUGGGUAGCUAGAGUAUGUCAGAGGGGGGUAGAAUUCCACGUGUAGCAGUGAAAUGCGUAGAGAUGUGGAGGAAUACCGAUGGCGAAGGCAGCCCCCUGGGAUAAUACUGACGUUCAUGCUCGAAAGCGUGGGUAGCAAACAGGAUUAGAUACCCCUGUAGUC
rnacentral:rRNA from 1 species